GCGAAAUGUGCAUGUGAAAAUUUUAAAUGAUUGCGCUAUGCGAAAUUAACUCAUUAUAAAAUUAAUUAAACAAUUGAUUGGAGCCGCACAACGCCAACAAAUGUGACUCUUGUCGAUAACCAACGGAAAUUGCACUCAACAUAGGCCUAAAGCAGGACAAACAGGAGGAUGUGUGGAUGUGUUUGCAAUCAGUUUUCAGUUCCCAAAUCGCCAGCAGCAAAACCGAACAGCAAACGAUGCGAUAGCAACAACAACAACAACAACAAUAUCAACAACAACACAGCAAAUGCGUAAUGCGUUUGUGGCAGAGUCGAGAAUGGAUGUGUGCGAGAGGCGUGGCAAAAAAUAUAUAUACACAAUAAUAGAAUCAAUUUGUAGUAAACCACAUGAGACACAUGAAAAACGCAAUAAAAAUGAACAGCAGUCGCCUCAA